rnacentral:rRNA from 1 species
AUGUUCGGACAAACUGCAACUCACUUCAUUCCUGAAGAACCCCACAAGACCAAACCAUUCAAGAAUUGUCCCCUAAAUGCCUCGCAGAGUUGCAGAAGCUUAAAACUCAGACUCCUCAAGUUUGACGAUUAUACUCCUCUUACAAACGCUGUGAUAUUGAUACCCAGGACCAGUUGCUUCCUUGAAAAUCUUCAGCUUAUUGGACCCACCACAACCAUGACCUUACCCCACACACCGACUAGACCAAAUGGUGACAACUGCUGCGACAAGGGAAUUACCACCAUUGGUCAAAUCUGCAAAAGGAAUUUAAAAUUAUAUUAUUGGUUGUCUCUUUGCUCAAAAGCUGAUUCAUGCUACCAUAUCGAGCAAAUAUGA